rnacentral:rRNA from 1 species
GUCCUUGCCGUAAACGAUGUAUACUUGGUGUAACUGGAAUCAACCCCGGUUGUGCCGUAGCUAACGCGAUAAGUAUACCGCCUGGGGAGUACGCUCGCAAGGGUGAAACUCAAAAGAAUUGACGGGGACCCGCACAAGCAGUGGAGCAUGUGGUUUAAUUCGAUGCAACGCUAAGAACCUUACCCAGACUUGACAUGCAGUGGAAGUUAACAGAAAUGUUAACGCCUUUCGGGGCUGCUGCACAGGUGCUGCAUGGCUGUCGU